AUAUAUUUAAUAUAGCAGUUUAUGAAAUAAGCCAGAAACCCAGGCAGACAUCAGGGCUUGUAACUUCAAAAUGUUACCAGCCCAAAUGGAAUUUAACCAGACCAGACACCAAGAUAUGGUGAAUUUA